AGAAAACGCAACAGUCAGCCUGUUCCAAGAUUCUGGGCAGGCUGUGUGGUGUGAUCCAUAGGACUUGGGCUGCUGUGGAGUGAAGAAUACAAUGACUGCCAAUUCACCUUGGUGCUGUGAUCUUGAUUCCUGCAAACAUACCAGCAGUUUUACCCACCAUCGCUUUUGUACUAUCAGUACAGAGGCCAGUACAGUGGAAAAGGAAAUCUGGUGCUCUUAACCCUCCUGGUAACCAAAGGGGUAUGAGGAUGAAUGAUGCUUGGCUGGUGUGUGCUGCUGUGUGGCAUGCCAGAACAGGGACUGCAGUAUCAGCAUUCACAGACACUGGAGGCUGGCACAGAAAUUGACAAGCUGAUCCUAAAAAUCACAUGAAAAUGUAAAGAAUCCAGCAAUCUCUUGGAAAAGAAGCCAAAACAAUAUUGGAGAAGAAAAACAAAGUUGGAAAACUCACACUUCCUGAUAUCAUAACGUAAUACAAAGCUACAGUAAUUAAGGCUAUUUGAUUAUCUGGUAUAAAGAUAGACAUAUAGAUCAAUGCAGUAGAAUUUAGAAUUCAGGAAUAAACCUAUUUAUCUAUGGAUAAUUAAUUAUCAACAAACACACCAAGACAAUUGGGGAAGCAAUAGUUUUUUCAACAAAUGGUGUUGGGGCAAUUGGAUCACCACAUUUAAAGAAUGAGUGUAUUAACACCAUAUAGAAAGCUGACUUAUAUCAGAUCAAAAACUAAAUAUAAGAGCUAAAACUAUAAAAACAUUAGAAGAAAAAAAUGUGUAAAUAUUUGUGACCUUGGAUUGGGCAACAGUUUCUUGAAUAUGACAUGAAUUGUACAAGCAAACAGAGAAAAAAAUAGUUAAAUUGAACAUCAAAAUUAAGUACUUUUUGUACUUCCAAAGAUACUAUUGAGAAAUUGAAAAGAUUUUCUACAGAAUGGGAGAAAAUAUUUGAAAAUCAUAUAUCUGACAGGAGUUUAGUAUACAGUUUAUAUAAAAACUCUUACAACUCAUAGAUAAAAAGACAAAGAACCCAAUUAAAGUAUGGGCAAAGGAUUUGAAUAGAUAUUUCUCCAACGAAGGCAUAAAAAUAGCUGAUUAGCACAUAAAAAAUGUUCGAUAUCAUUAGUCAUUAGAGAGAUGCAGAUCAAAACCCCAAUGAGUUUCACCUCACACUCACUAUGAUGGCUGAAAUUUAAAAAGUCUGACAAUGAGAAGUGUUGGUGAGGAUGUAAAGAAAUUGGAACCUUUAUACGUUGUUGGUGGGAGUGUAAAAUGAUUCAGCCACUGUAGAAAACAGUUUGGCAGGUCCUCAAAAAGUUACAGUUACCAAAUGACCCAGCAAUUUCAUUCCUAGGUAUAUAGCCAAGAGAAUUGAAAACAUCUCCACACAAAAACCUGUACACCGACAUUCAAAGCAUCAUUAUUCAUAAUAGUCAAAAAGUGGGGACAACCCAAAUUUUCAUCAACAGAUGAAUGGCAAACAAAAUGUAGUAGGUCUAUACAGUGGAAUAUUACUCAGCUAUAAAAAGGAAUGUGGUACUAAUAUAUGCUGUAAGACGAAUGAACCUUGAAAACGUAAGGCUAAGUGAAAGAAGCCAGACACAAAAGGCCACAUACUGUAUGAUUCUAUUCAUGUAAAAUGUCCAGAAUGGGAAACUCCUAAACAGAAAGUAGAUUAGUGGUUGUCAGGGACUUGGAGAGGGGAAAACAGGGAGUGGCUGCUGAUGAUACAGGUUUUGGGGAUGAUGAAAACGUUCUGGAAUUAGAUCGUGGUGAUUGUUGUAAAAUUUCUGAAUAUGCUAAACACUACUGAAUUAUACACUUUCAUGAAGUGACUUCUAUGGUAUGUUAACUAUAUCUCAAAAAAUCAUGAGGGAAAAAAAUUGGUCUCUGUAGCUUUAACCUUUUAAAUAUUGGCAUGCUCUCAUGUCCCUUGGUGUCCCUCCUUCCCCUUGGUUUGAAGAAAUUGUCUAGACUUUUAAUUGGGAAUUUUUAUGGAUUCAUUUUACUUUUUAUUUUUUGAAGUCUUCAUCCUAUUCCCCAUAUGCAUAUUUUGCUAGAUGUAAUGCCAGGAAAGAACUCAGGAUUAGCCCUAAUGUGUAAGUUUGUGCUAUCUCAGGUUAGUUUAAGGAGAGGAAUCUCUAGGGGUGAAAGCCACAUGCACCAAAACCCAGUUAUCACCCCUAUUUACUCUCACCUCAUCAUGCAACUCUUCAAGUCAGAGCUUCAUCUUUCUUUUCUUUUUCUUUUUGAGACAGAGUUUUGCUCUUGUUGCCCAGGCUGAAGUGCAAUGGUGUGAUCUCGGCUCACCGCAACCUCUGCCUCCCAGGUUCAAGCAAUUCUCCUGCCUCAACCUCCAAGAGUAGCUGGGAUUACAGGCACGCGCCACCACACCCAGCUAAUUUUGUAUUUUUAGUAGGGACGGGGUUUCUUCAUGUUGGUCAGGCUGGUCUUGAACUCCCAACCUCAGGUGAUCCGCCACCUCGGCCUCCCAAAGUGCUGGGAUUAUAGGCAUGAGCCACCGCGCCCGGCCAGAACUUCAUCUUUAAAGUCCCAAUGAGCUGUGCAUUGCAAGGGUACUCUCCCUAGGUUGAACUCUGGGGGUGUCAAGGAGAGUGGGUGAAGGAAUGAAUGCUCACAGCCUAUCAGACCCAACCUGUUAUUAAGUCUUCAUUCUAAGGGGCUUUUAAAGGAGUGAAGAAACUGCUGUGACUUGUGCCAAAUUCUCAAAACCUUUUGACCUCAAGUCAGAGGUAUUUUUACCGUUAUGCAGACGUCGGGCUCUUGAAUGCAGCCCCAUUGCCCAAGUUCGAUUGAUCCAGUAUCUCACAAUGUUUUGCUACUAACCAAUGAGCCUUGAGGAAACUUGCUUGUUUUCCCUACUGGUAAUUGAAAAUACUAUUAUCGUGUGAAGCAACAUGGAUAUAUUAUGAAAUAGAGUGCAAAAAUUGUGAAUUUUGAAGACAGAACACUUAAAUUGCAGUAAGCCAUUUUAGUCUAAACUGACUCUAGACCUGUUAAGGUCAUUUCCUCUUGGCUUGAAAAUAUAUUUUUGGUAAAACUAUUUGACAAGCAGUGUCCUAAUUCAAUAACCUACCAUCCCUAGCUUGACACUGUAGCUGAAGCUGAGUGUUAUCGUGUGUUAGCAAGACGUUAAGCUCCUGUACACUAAUUCCUGAAAACGCCAUUGUAUUUUUGGAACCGCACUGUGUUUUUGCUUGAUUUAACUUGAUGUUCUUUCUCAGUGAGUAAUUUUUACGGUUCCUGUUAAAAAAAAAUACCAAGUUGUCUCAUUUGCUGUGGCCAUUUGAUUGUAGUUCCUGAUGUAAUCUCUAGCACAAAGGUCCCAUUGAAGAGUUUAUUUUGGUUUCUAUAUGUGGGUCAAUCACAUAAUGCAGUUUACUGUGUGAAUUUUGAAGAAUUCCAAUCCUUCUAAUAGUGCUUGGAAAUAUGAGUACAAAUAUUGGGCUUUAAUGCAUUGAAAGGUGUUGUAGGAGGCAAACAACAUAGAAAUUAGGGUUUUGACACAUUUUUCAAGGAAGGGGCUUGAAGGAGGAGGUGUAGUGGCAGGCAUCUCUGGAGAACACCACUGACUAAAAUAAAAAAAAAAAUUUUCUCCAAGUUUCCCAUCUGUUACAUACUGGAUUUUUCCUGUAAAUAUCAAGUUUAAUGAAACAUACAUCCUGAAUACAUUGAAGGGGAAAUAACAAUCACCAGCUCCUGCCUGGUUAAAUGUUGACUCUAAUAAAUGAGUUGCCUGCACAGCUGUUCAAUUUUAUAAUUUCUCAUGGUGGCUAGUUCCUCAUUUCCAUCUUUGAAAUGCUUUUUAAAAAUCCUGGAAAGAACAUUUAGUUUUUAAAUUGAGGAAGAUUAGUGAUAAUCUCAUUAGCAAUCUGGAUGGUAAUUUUCAUUUAGUGGGUGCCUUCUCUAUGAAUCUUGGGAAAUUCUGAGAAUUCAUUGUUGCUAAACUUUUUGCUAAAAAUAUCCUUCCUAAAUGGAAAAGUCUGUGUCAUGCAUGCUAGUGUGAAUGUGGGCUCGUGAAGGAACUGGCAGCCUAGAUAGAUACCCUGAGAGUGAUGAGGUGGUGUGUAUCAGUCAGUGUUUACCACAGUAAUGCUGCAUAACAAACCACCCCCAAAGUCUGGACCAUACAAUGAAAGCAUUUAUUUCUGGCUUGUGUAUAUAUGAGUCAGCUUGUCUGGGCUCAGCUAGAUUUGGCUGCAGGCCUUGAGUUCAAUUUAGAUCUGUUUCAAGCAUCUUAUUUUUCUGAGUCAAGUAGGCAACUCUGCAAGGCAUGUUCUUCUCACGUUAAUGUCAGGGUGCAAGAGGACAAGCCUAAUCAUGCCAGUGCAUUAUAUCAUACCCCACUGGCCAAAGCAGACAUGUGGCUAAACCCAAAGAUUAGCCAAAUUCUGCCUAUAGUGGGAGGAACUGCAAAAGCC
rnacentral:lncRNA from 1 species